CUUCACAAAAUCGAGACAUAAUGGGGAGAGGGGCAGGGGGAAUAAAUGCUUGUCAAAUGAAUCCCCUCUCCCUGGCAGAAAGAGUCUUUGGUCCAUUUCAACCACCUCCACUAGUCCUGGCAGGGAGGAUUUCCCUUUGCUUCAGCAGCAUCACCACAACAGACCCAGCUCCAGACAACUGACCUCUCUUCAACAGCUCCCAUGUAUUACACAACUGCUUCCCAGGUUUUGUCGUGUAAUCCCAUGAGCUCACAAAGGCUGGUACAGUGUCAACCCAUCAUAACCCAGAAAUUUCUCAAGGAACAAUAGUCAGCAACACCAAAAAAACAAGAACAACAUACCAGACAAGUGUAGCCUUAAGGGCAAGAGUGCAGCACACAAGACUGGUUCCUGUGUCAUCUCAUUUGGUGAAAACACCCAAGCUGAAGUUUUUAGAAAGACUAUGUACAUCUCCCAGGCAUCUCCCAAAAUGCCUGACCCUGCAAUCAGCGUGUGUUGCAGGUUCAGCUGUCAACAGAUGCAGGAAAGCCAGGGCUGGACUUCUCGCAGAGCCUUCAUUGACAGAAAAUCUGGAAGAGAUCUUGUUACAUUCAUCUUCUGCACAAAGCUACUGACCACCAUCAGCUAUUUCAUCAUCAUCAAUGAUUCAUCAUUAAAUCCUUGUAAAUGACUGUGGAACAGGAAAGGCAGAAGAAAUUAAUGCUGACAAAUGCAGGCCAGCACACAUUGGGAAAAUGUGUUCGUCUGCACGUGAACAUGCACUCUGUGAAAGGAACUCAGGAUCUACCUCCAGUGGGGAACAGAACAGUCACUGCAGUGAGGCCUUCGACAAACAUCAGAACUGUGCUCCACAGCUGCCAGAAGAGAGACAGUGUUCAUCAUUAUCAGUAAAACAGAUCUGGGAAACCUCAA